GGUAGUCCACCCCGUAAACGUUGGGAACUAGUUGUGGGGACCAUUCCACGGUUUCCGUGACGCAGCUAACGCAUUAAGUUCCCCGCCUGGGGAGUACGGCCGCAAGGCUAAAACUCAAAGGAAUUGACGGGGACCCGCACAAGCGGCGGAGCAUGCGGAUUAAUUCGAUGCAACGCGAAGAACCUUACCAAGGCUUGACAUACACCAGAACGGGCCAGAAAUGGUCAACUCUUUGGACACUGGUGAACAGGUGGUGCAUGGUUGUCGUCAGCUCGUGUCGUGAGAUGUUGGGUUAAGUCCCGCAACGAGCGCAACCCUCGUUCUAUGUUGCCGGCACGUAAUGGUGGGAACUCAUGGGAUACUGCCGGGGUCAACUCGGAGGAAGGUGGGGAUGACGUCAAAUCAUCAUGCCCCUUAUGUCUUGGGCUUCACGCAUGCUACAAUGGCCGGUACAAAGGGCUGCAAUACCGUGAGGUGGAGCGAAUCCCAAAAAGCCGGUCCCAGUUCGGAUUGAGGUCCGCAACUCGACCUCAUGAAGUCGGAGUCGCUAGUAAUCGCAGAUCAGCAACGCUGCGGUGAAUACGUUCCCGGGUCUUGUACACACCGCCCGUCAAGUCAUGAAAGUCGGUAACACCUGAAGCCGGUGGCCCAACCCUUGUGGAGGGAGCCGUCGAAGGUGGGAUCGGUAAUUAGGACUAAGUCGUAACAAGGUAGCCGUACCGGAAGGUGC
rnacentral:rRNA from 1 species